CGUACCUUUUGCAUCAUGAUUUAGCUAGUAAACCCCAAGCAAAGCGUACUUUAGUUUGACCCCCCGAAACCAGUGUGAGCUACUCCAAGACAGCCUAACAUAGGGCACACCCGUCUCUGUGGCAGUAGAGUGGGAAGAGCUUUGAGUAGAGGUGACAGACCUACCGAACCUGGUUAUAGCUGGUUGCCUGAGAAAUGGAUAGGAGUUCAGCCUCCCGGCUUCUCUAUUCAGAGCCUAUCACCCACCAAACAAAACGAUAGAUGCAAGAGAAACCGAGAGAGUUAGUCAAAAGAGGUACAGCUCUUUUGAAACAAGACACAACUUUCCCAGGAGGGUAAAGAUCAUAAUAAGAAUAAGGUAAAAUGUUUUGGUGGGCCUAAAAGCAGCCAUCCCUCUAGAAAGCGUUAAAGCUCAAACAUACCCCCUAUCCUAUUAUCCCGAUAACUUUAUCUUAGCCCCCUAAUCUUACCAGGCCGUUCCAUACAAAUAUGGAAGUGACCAUGCUAAUAUGAGUAAUAAGAGAGCCUCGCCUCUCUCCUUGCACAAGUGUAAAUCG
rnacentral:rRNA from 1 species